rnacentral:rRNA from 1 species
AACGCGAAGAACCUUACCUGGGUUUGACAUCCCGCGAAUCCUCCCGAAAAGGAGGAGUAUUCUUCGGAGAGCGCGGAGACAGGUGCUGCAUGGCUGUCGUCAGCUCGUGCCGUGAGGUGUUGGGCUAAGUCCCGCAACGAGCGCAACCCUUGUCCUUAGUUGCUACCGGGUAAUGCCGGGCACUCUAGGGAGACCGCCUCGGUCAACGGGGAGGAAGGUGGGGACGACGUCAAGUCAUCAUGGCCCUUACGCCCAGGGCUACACACGUACUACAAUGGCGGAUACAAAGGGUAGCCAAACCGCGAGGUGGAGCCAACCCCAAAAAGUCCGUCUCAGUCCGGAUCGCAGUCUGCAACUCGACUGCGUGAAGCUGGAAUCGCUAGUAAUCGCGCAUCAUCAUGGCGCGGUGAAUACGUUCCCGGGCCUUGUACACACCG